GCGGAUAUGGCGGAAUUGGCAGACGCGACGGUUUUAGGUGCCGUUGGUUCACCCGUGCAGGUUCAAGUCCUGUUAUCCGCA
rnacentral:tRNA from 3 species